rnacentral:rRNA from 1 species
UGUCUUGUAUUGGAUGAUGUGUGAAUUUAAACGCUCUUCCAGAGUAUCAAUUGGAGGGCAAGUCUGGUGCCAGCAGCCGCGGUAAUUCCAGCUCCAAUAGCGUAUAUUAAAAUUGUUGCAGUUAAAAAGCUCGUAGUUGAAUUUCUGCUGCAUUACAUAUCUCUUGUUUGAGUUUGUUUUUGUGCCUUAUUUCGGUUUGAUUUUAUCUUUCCGGAUGAUUACUUUGAGAAAAUUAGAGUGCUCAAAGCAGGCUUUUGCCUUGAAUAGUUUAGCAUGGAAUAAUAAAGUAGGACUUUGGUUCUAUUUUGUUGGUUUUAGGUACCAAAGUAAUGGAUAAUAGG